CGGGGGGCUCAGUCCCAUGACCCUGGGAUCAUGACCUGCGGCUGAAAUCAAGAGUCGGAUGCUCAACCAGCUGAGUCACCCAGGAGUCUCUGGGCCACAGUUGAAACCCGCAAUGGCCAGAGCGUCCGUGAGUGUGGCAUUUGGCUGGGUCUGCCCUGCCAGGGGCCUCCCCAAGUUGCCUGAGCCAUGAACGCAACCCAACCUCUUACCUUUAACUUAUUUAUAUAAGGGAUCCAAAGUCUCUCCAUCAGCUCGUUGCGGUAUUUCUUGGUGAAGUAGCCCAUGUAGGAGACGAAGGCGGAAAUCAGCAGGACGUCCCCGCACAGGGUGACCCCCUGGCAUUUGAAGUUCUUCACCGACUCAGCCCAGCGGAUGUUUUCCGAUGCCAAUCCCCCUACCAGCCUGAAUGGAAACACGAGGUGGCAACCAGAACACAUAAAAUGAUGGGUGUGGCCCCAGUCCCUUUGGACAGCCCUGCUCUGGAAGCCCUGGAAGCCGGCGCCCACACCACGGGCGCUUCUCCUGCGCCUCGGCCAGCUCGGCAUUCGCCUCCUCCAGGGCCUGCCUCUUGGGGGCCACGUCACAAUACACCUCGUAGAAGCGCACGAUGUUGAUGCACCAGGAGCACAGGCCCGCGGCGGCCGUGGACUUGGAGCGGAUGAACUCGGGGUCGAAGGUCGGGUUGCCUUGGUAGGGCCUGGAGGGGGAGCAGGUGUGGGCUCUGCAGGCCUCAGGCCUCCCCUGCAUCUGUCCCUCCGGCCCUCAGCUGGCCGCUGACCGCGGAGCACAGGCAAUUACCGGGGAGCACGGUGAAUCGGUUUUUUUUGGGGGGGGGGGGGUGGUGCAGAAGGGUCUUCAAGAAGAAGAAAAAAGUGAAACACUGAGGUCUGGCCCCAGAAGUGGUUUGGGGUGUGAGGGGGCACAGAGCCACUUUAGACCCUUCUGGAAACCAGUAUUUUAAAAAGCGACAGUGACAUCGUUAAGCGUAACAGACUGAACUUCCUGCAGAAAGACUCUCGAAUGGGUUAAUUCAAAAUAGAACCAACGAGCAGUUUGGACGUCGGCCGGGAGUACAGCCGGCCAUCCCCACCCUCGGUUUACUUUGUGUUUCCUCUAGGUUGACGUUGCGACAGGUUUACAUGUUUAGACACCCGUCGGGGGCCGCGGCCGUCGGGGAGCUGGCAGAACGGAGACGGCCUGAAUCUUCCGCGGUUUGGGACCAGUUAGGGAAAUUACACUCUGCCUGCCGCCAAGGCCGUCCGGCGGUUAGAGGAGAGCCCGAUGAACCGGCAAGAAAACAUGUUCUCCGGUCAGCGCCAGGAGCCCCGCGAUCUCUGCGCACACACAGGCGUCUCGACCGUGGGGGAACCGGUGCCAGCGAGGAGGCUGAGCGCGCGUCCACCUCCCGGUGGUGGAGGCCCCUUGGCGGCAUUUGGUUUGCUCCCCCCGCCUGCCCCUCGGCAACACGGCCAGCCCGCCGGGUCUGCCCCUCCAGGUGUGGCGCAUUUACGGUGACAACAGCGGGAAGCAGAAAACACGCACGACGGGGCCCGAGUCAGCGGAUGCACACGGCACGCGUGUGUGCGUGCGUGCGUAUGUGUGUGUGCAACUGCUCUCGCCUCUAGGGGCCCUGGUGGCGUUUCUCGUGGUCCUGUGGGCUGACGGGUUGUUAGACCCUCCCAUGCGCCGUUGUGGAUUUUGAGCCACGGGCCUUUCCGCCUGUGCUGACCCCUUCCGGUGGGGAAGGAAGAGGGUGCUGAGGUGCCCCAGGGCCCGUGUGCGGCCACGUUUCCCCAGGCCGCCCCCUGCCAGCUCCGGGGGCCCACCUUGCUGCACACGGCCUGAGGCCCUGCCCCACCCCGGCCGGCACAGCCUUCCCCUGGGAACAGGUCUCUGGCCGGGGCCGGCGGGAGGGGACCCGGGGGACCCUGGCACCACUGUGCUGAGCUGGGCGGUGCGGCCGAGCCUGACUCACUUAAACGCCUUCAGGCAGGCCUCGGGGAUGUGCUCCUUGUCAAACUUCUUCAAGGAGUCCAGGAACGUGUCCACUUUGCCCAUCAUGAUUUUGGCCGCUUUCCAGCUCUUGUCCUUGGGGAUCUUGCCCCCCGGCGCGGUCAGGAUCAUGACGGCGGCCGUGACGUUGACCACGGCGUCCGGGGGUGACCCGAAGGACUUCAGCUCGGUCAGGUUGUUCUGAAAAUGACAGAUGGGGAGCACCUGAAAGGGGCCCGCAGGCCCCGGGACCACCCUGGGAAGCUUCCACAAGCCUGCGGCCGCUUGCGCACGCACACCACGGCUUUCUCCUCCACUCUGGCCGGUCCGUUUCUUGCUCCUUCCCUUCCCGCACCUUAUUCAGCGUGUCGAGAGCUUCCUGCGCAGCCAGCAGGGCCGGCUCCGCCUUGGCCAGGUCCGUUUCACAUGCCUUUUGUUUCUCUGCGACAUUCUGGAAGGAAGCCACGCGGGAAAGAUCAGCGCAGGGAUUGGUGGGGGCUGGGUGUGAGAGUGUGUGUGUGGGUGUGUGUGUGUAGCCCUGGGCAGCAGCGAGAGCACGGACAGAAGUGAGGAGGGUGCUGUGCCCCGUGCUCCCCUUCAUGCCCGGGAGGUCACUGGUCACCGCCUGGAGCCCGCCUUUCUCCUCUCCGCCCCUCUGCCCCUGCCCCUCAACAGGUUGCAAUGAGCCAUGGGGGUGGCAGACUUCGGGUUCUGGAAUGGCCCCCGCUUCCGGGACUGACAGCGGUUAAUGUCCGGCACCCGCCCCUCUCCAGCCCCUGCAUCCAGAAACGGCCCCCGCGAGGGUGCUCCGGGGAGGAAGGCCCGGAUGCUAUCCCCGGGGCAGCCUGCCCAGCCAGCACCUUCCACGCCCGUUCCUGUGGUCGUGCCCCACGUUGUUCUUAAAGUCGGGGGCAGGAUGCACUCUCCACAGGGUGCCUUGCAGAGAGACCUCUCCUUUCUGUCCUCGUCCUCUGCACCCAGCAAAGCCCCCAGCCCCUACUGGCUCCUUCCUGAUGGACACCACGCGGCUACUGGUCUCUGUGCUUGGCACCCAGAGACUCGGAGGGGUUCUUCCCGAUCCGAGGAGCGAAUGCACAGGUGCGUGAACACGUUCUCACUUCCUUACGGGGAGGGCGAGCCAGACCUCCGAACUGUUCCAUUUUGGAGAAAUCACACACUGGCACUAAGAGACAGUAAAGGCCUCAGAGCCAGUGGCGGGGGCUCCUCGUGGCCCAGGCCUCUUGGGCGAAGGCCUCCUGGUGAAGGCGCUGCCUGGGUGGGCUAACCCGGGGGCGCCACCCGGAGCUUCCUCCCCGGGGAGCACCCCUGACCCUGGGGUUGGAAAGCGGUGGGUGCCUGGACAUUAAGAGCCACACGUGGUAUCAGACGGGCAGGUCACAGAGUUUGGGGUGUGAACGUGGGUCCUGACUGCCACUCCCUAGUUUCGAGACCCCGGGCACGUUGCUGACCACCCUGAGCCUCAGAGGGUCGUGGUUCUGCAGCUCCUGCCGCCCCGCCCGGCCCAGUGACCUCGGCACCUCUGGAGGGAGCUCCUGGCACAGGGUCUGAGGACCAGGGCCCCCAUCCAAGGGCGGGGCGCUUCUCAAACCUUAAUGUGCUCACAGGUCCCUGGCAUCUUGUUAAAAUGCAGACCUGAUUCAGCAGAGCUGGGCCAGGGCCCGAGAACCUGCGUCUCUUACCAGCUCCUGGAAAUGCCACCAAGGUGGCCUGGGGACAGACGGCACGGCUCCAAGAGGAGGCGGCCCUCCUCUGAGCUGGGAGAGAUGCCCCCUCAGGGGGCUUCCUGCAGGUCUGGGAGCCCUCCCGGCCUUUGCCUGGGCCCAUGGGAGAUACUGACCACUCAGGGGAGGCCUGGCCUGGCAUAGCCAUGAGCCACAGCCCACGGAGGCCCCGCGUGUCUGCACACCUUGUUGAUGACCUCCACCUUGGCCUCCUCCUCGUCUGCGAUGGCUUUCUCUUUGCUGACCUUCUCGGUUUCCACACCCACCACCUGGAUCAGCUUGUCGGCAUUCUCGUUUUUCUGCUUGAGCUCAGCCUCCUGAAUCGCCAGCUUGGCUUUUAAGUCAUCCACCUCGGGGAGGAGACGCCAAGAGAUGGGUGAGCUUGGGCCCCGGGGCCACGACACAGAGCGGGAGGGGGCGCGGGGAGGCAGUAAGUGAUAGGGUGGCCUCAGUGCAGGGCGUCCUGGAACGGGCACGUCACGGACGCGCCAGACUGGAUGCACGAAUCCCGCCCGGCUCGGCUGACGCGAAGCACCCAACGUAACGUCAGCACUGCGAAAGCAUCUUGAACCCGUUUUGUUUGUUUGUUUGUUUGUUUGUUUAAUAUUAAAACCCACGCGUCCUUUCUGGCGUGAGAAUGGACGUUUCUCUGAGGCCGGAAUCCCGUUCCUCCGACUCGGGGGAAGGUUCUUCCCUACCUGGGACGCUGUGCUCUGCAGUUUCAUCAGGCCGUUCUCCAGCCUCUCGAUCUUGGCCACCAGCUCCGUUCUCUUCCUGGCCAGCAGGUUCUGGUACAGUUUGAUCUGCUCCAGGAAGGUUUUGGGGGUGGUGUAGUUGUAACGCCUCUCGGUGGCCAGGUACAGCCUGGACAUCUCGUUGACCGUUGUGUGCACGUAGGCUGUGAAGAGACUGAUGGAAGCCUUGACAUCUCCCUGCAAAGGCAAGAUGGGCCGUUGGUUCCCUGUCCCCUGGCGGGAGCGACCCCACUCCGGUGGGGGCCCUGGAGGAGCCCCGGGAGGAGUGGGGGCCGUCAAGACAGCAAUGCCUGUGCAGGCCGUCGUGGGCACUUGGUGACAUUGUACCACCAAGGGUCUGGCUCAGUGCCAGGGACGCAGCGUGGCUCGACUCCCGUGAUCACCUCUCUCUGAUCCACGCCCGCCCAUACCUGGGAGGGCGCAGGGCCCGACGGUAUGUUUGAGUGACCUGGGCCAUCCAGUAGGCAUUUAUUGUGCAAAGGGUCCUACGCUGGGUCCUGCUUCCCACGGCAGGGUCACAGCCACCACCAUCUGGGUCCACCCCAUCUGCCUGGGCGCCUGGUCCCAGGAAUGGUCCAAGCCAUACCAGCCGUGAUUCAAGGUAAUUUGGAAACGUGUUCCCCCUUAUACCUGCUGCUUCAGCAUCUGCCCUGCAGCCCUCGCUGGUGGUGCCAGCCGUGGGGGCCUUUCCCCGAUCUUGGGGGGGCUGGAAACCCCACAUCUGUGCCCCGAGCAAAGUGUGGGAAAGGCCCAUCCCAGAGUAGGUGCUCUAGCAAUGACCAGCAGAUUUUACCCACCUUUCCCACCAGGCCCACGGUUAAUUUCAGGUUCAGUACUUAGUAACUGAAUAUGUGUCCAAAAUAAAGCAAAACAUGAUAA